rnacentral:rRNA from 1 species
UACGUAGGGUGCAAGCGUUGUCCGGAUUUAUUGGGCGUAAAGAGCUCGUAGGCGGCUUAGUAAGUCGGGUGUGAAACCUCCAGGCUCAACCUGGAGACGCCACCCGAUACUGCUGUGGCUAGAGUCCGGUAGGGGAGCGUGGAAUUCCUGGUGUAGCGUGAAAUGCGCAGAUAUCAGGAGGAACACCAGCGGCGAAGGCGGCGCUCUGGGCCGGUACUGACGCUGAGGAGCGAAAGCGUGGGAGCAAACAGG